rnacentral:pre_miRNA from 1 species
AAACAGCCCCCUAUGUUUUGAUUAUUUGGCAGUUUUGGACCCCCAAGGCAAAAAAAAAAAAAAAUUGACGCGUGGCACUCACUUAGGGUGCCACGUCAGCGUUGACCGGGUCAACAAUGGACUGGGGGUCCAAAACUGCCAAAAAGUUAAAACAUAGGGGGCUGUUU